AUAAUAUGUCGGAUAAAACGAGUAGUUUUGAUAAAACUAAACAUUAAAGUCUUAGAACUUUAUAUUAUUAU
rnacentral:tRNA from 1 species